AGAUUGAACGCUGGCGGCAGGCCUAACACAUGCAAGUCGAGCGGAUGAAGAGAGCUUGCUCUCUGAUUCAGCGGCGGACGGGUGAGUAAUGCCUAGGAAUCUGCCUGGUAGUGGGGGACAACGUUUCGAAAGGAACGCUAAUACCGCAUACGUCCUACGGGAGAAAGCAGGGGACCUUCGGGCCUUGCGCUAUCAGAUGAGCCUAGGUCGGAUUAGCUAGUUGUGAGGUAAUGGCUCACCAAGGCGACGAUCCGUAACUGGUCUGAGAGGAUGAUCAGUCACACUGGAACUGAGACACGGUCCAGACUCCUACGGGAGCAGCAGUGGGGAAUAGUUGGACAAUGGGACGAAAGCCUGGUCCAGCCAUGCCGCGUGUGUGAAGAAGGUCUUCGGAUUGUAAAGCUAACGUUUAAGUUGGGAAGGAAGGGACUAAGUUAACCGUAAUUACGUUAGUUAGUUUGUACGUUACGACAGAAUAGACACGUCUACGUUCG
rnacentral:rRNA from 1 species